rnacentral:rRNA from 1 species
GACGAACGCUGGCGGCGUGCUUAACACAUGCAAGUCGAACGAUGAAGAAGAGAAACGCGAACUUCGGUUCAAAUUUCACUUCGGAUUAGUGGCAGACGGGUGAGUAACGCGUGAGCAACCUACCUCUUACAAAGGGAUAGCCUCUGGAAACCGUGAUUAAUACCAUAUGACACAUUCAUAAGGCAUCUUAAGAAUGUUAAAGCUACGGCGGUAAGAGAUGGGCUCGCGUCCCAUUAGCUAGUUGGUGAGGUAACGGCCCACCAAGGCGACGAUGGGUAACCGGGCUGAGAGGGUGAACGGUCACAUUGGAACUGAGACACGGUCCAAACUCCUACGGGAGGCAGCAGUGGGGAAUAUUGCACAAUGGAGGGAACUCUGAUGCAGCGACGCCGCGUGAGCGAUGAAGGAAUUCGUUUCGUAAAGCUCUGUUCUAUGGGAAGAAAAGGACUGUACCAUAGGAGAAAGCCCCGGCUAAAUACGUG